CCACCGCGGUUAUACGAGAGACUCAAGUUGAUAAACUACGGCGUAAAGAGUGGUUAAGAACAUUUUAAAAUAAAGUUGAAUGCUUUCUAAGCUGUCAUACGCACCUGAAAGUAAGAAGCCCAACUACGAAGGUGACUUUACAAAAUUCUGACCCCACGAAAGCUAGGUCACAAACUGGGAUUAGAUACCCCACUAUGCCCAGCCUUAAACAUAAAUAGCACCCCACAUUAGCUAUUCGCCAGGGAACUACGAGCCCCAGCUUAAAACCCAAAGGACUUGGCGGUGCUUUAAAUCCACCUAGAGGAGCCUGUUCUAUAACCGAUAACCCCCGUUCAACCUCACCUUCCCUUGUCCAUUCCGCCUAUAUACCGCCGUCGUCAGCUUACCCCCUAAGGGCUGAACAGUAAGCAUAAUUGGUUCAACCUCAAACGUCAGGUCGAGGUGUAGCGCAUGAGAAGGAAAGAAAUGGGCUACAUUCACUAUUUAAGUGAACACGAAUGAUAAAUUGAAACAUUCAUCUGAAGGAGGAUUUAGCAGUAAGCAGAAAAUAGAGCGUUCUGCUGAAAUUGGUUCUAAAGCGCGCACACACCGCCCGUCACUCUCCCCAAACCAUUAUCACCCCAUAACUAAACAUAAAAUAACCACAAAGGGGAGGCAAGUCGUAACAUG
rnacentral:rRNA from 1 species